UUUUCGGAAGGUAUGCUUAAAGAGGGGCUUGCGUCACAUUAGUUAGUUGGCAGGGUAAAAGCCUACCAAGACUAUGAUGUGUAGCUGGACUGAGAGGUUGAACAGCCACAUUGGGACUGAGACACGGCCCAAACUCCUACGGGAGGCAGCAGUAGGGAAUUUUCGGCAAUGGAGGAAACUCUGACCGAGCAACGCCGCGUGAACGAUGAAGUAUUUCGGUAUGUAAAGUUCUUUUAUUGAAGAAGAAAAAAUAGUGGAAAAACUAUCUUGACGAUAUUCAAUGAAUAAGCCCCGGCAAACUAUGUGCCAGCAGCCGCGGUAAUACAUAGGGGGCGAGCGUUAUCCGGAAUUAUUGGGCGUAAAGGGUGCGUAGGCGGUUUAAUAAGUCUAUAGUUUAAUUUCAGUGCUUAACACUGUCCUGCUAUAGAAACUAUUAGACUAGAGUGAGAUAGAGGCAAGUGGAAUUCCAUGUGUAGCGGUAAAAUGCGUAAAUAUAUGGAGGAACACCAGAGGCGUAGGCGGCUUGCUGGGUCUUUACUGACGCUGAGGCACGAAAGCGUGGGGAGCAAACAGGAUUAGAUACCCUGGUAGUCCACGCCGUAAACGAUGAGUACUAAGUGUCGGGAUUACUCGGUACUGAAGUUAACACAUUAAGUACUCCGCCUGAGUAGUACGUACGCAAGUAUGAAACUUAAAGGAAUUGACGGGACUCCGCACAAGCGGUGGAUCAUGUUGUUUAAUUCGAAGAUACACGAAAAACCUUACCAGGUCUUGACAUACUCUGCAAAGCUAUAGCAAUAUAGUGGAGGUUAUCAGGGAUACAGGUGGUGCAUGGUUGUCGUCAGCUCGUGUCGUGAGAUGUUAGGUUAAGUCCUAAAACGAGCGCAACCCUUGUCAUUAGUUGCCAGCAUGUCAUGAUGGGCACUUUAAUGAGACUGCCAAUGAAAAAUUGGAGGAAGGUGAGGAUCACGUCAAAUCAUCAUGCCCCUUAUGAUCUGGGCUACAAACGUGAUACAAUGGCUGUUACAAAGAGUAGCUGAAACGUAAGUUUAUAGCCAAUCUCAUAAAAGCAGUCUCAGUUCGGAUUGAAGUCUGCAACUCGACUUCAUGAAGUUGGAAUCGCUAGU
rnacentral:rRNA from 1 species